rfam:Streptococcus sobrinus TCI-77 contig00206, whole genome shotgun sequence.
ACAUGAGGUAGCCUUUCUAUUAUUUUUUUGUCAACGAUAUUUUAUCAAGACUACCUAUGUAAAGCAAAAAGCAACGGCAUCAAAACCGUUGCUUUUUCGUUG